rnacentral:lncRNA from 1 species
GGCCUGGUUUCUAAGGGCAAAAGAAAAGGAAAUAUAAGUUUGGUUUAGAGACAGGGUUUUGUUGAGCAGCUUAGGGCCUCACCUCCUGAGCCACUGGGGUUACAGGCAUGUGCCACCACACUUGGCUUAUUUUUCUUAUUUUGAGACAGGAUCUCAGUAGGUUGCUUACAGCCUUCUAAGUUGUUAGGGAUUUUCUUAUUUUUCCUAUAAAUUUUUGGUUCUUUUCCCUUCGUUUUUAAGAGUCCCAUAUGUUAAGUUGUUGGGGCUGUCUUUAAACUCAUGAUCCUCCUGCCUCAGCCUCCUGAGCUGCUGGGAUUAUAGGCAUGUGCCACUGCACCCAGCUUCCAAGCCAUUCUUUAGCUAUCACUUAAAGUAGUAACUAUUAAUACUCAUGUUUUACUUCUAUGAUGGAUUGCAGUGGUCUGGAAAGAGGAAGUGGGUGGGAGCUAUGCUGUUCCUGUAAAAUCUAAUAGGAGUAAAGCCAGGAAAGGAGCUGUAGACACCAGUGAUCCUGGAAGGACAGGAAUUAAAAUGUACUGAGCAACCACUCCUAUUUUACUAUGAGAAAACCAAGGCUCAAAAUCAGGAUUUGAAUCUAGCUCUUAUAUAUCAAGUGAAAUAUUUCCUCUUGGAUGCCACCAAGUAAAGCCAUGGACAAUCUGAUCUUCUGUACAUUUUUAGACUAAAGCCUCAACUCUUUGCCAUUUAACAUUUACUAAACUUAACCUAAAGUAAGGAAUGUGAAUGGAUUUCCAUUUCACUUUUGUUUUCCCAGACCCCUUGGUGAUGAAGACACAGGUGAGACGUGUAUGAGAGGGGCAUGGGUAUUGGCUAAACCUGCAGAAAGGAGGGUUUGACCAGACCUGUAGGAUCUUCUUGAAAGAUUGUGAGGGAAUUGCCUCAAACAGUGGAAUGUUGAAUAGAGUGGUUCUUUGGCUCUCCCAUGUUGGAUGGGACCAAGCCCUAUUCUGUAGGCCAUUCUUCUAGUUAGCCUAUUGUGGUUAAUUAAAAUAAUGCUUAUUUUAAUUAGAUCACAUU